rnacentral:rRNA from 1 species
AUUGCACGCUGGCGGCAGGUCUAACACAUGCAAGUCGAACGAGUGGCGGACGGGUGAGUAAUGUCUGGGAAACUGCCCGAUGGAGGGGGAUAACGACUGGAAACGGUAGCUAAUACCGCAUACCAUCGGAUGUGCCCAGAUGGGAUUAGAUAGUAGGGGGGGUAAUGGCGAACCUAGGCGACGAUCCCGAGCUGGUCUGAGAGGAUGAUCAGUCACACUGGAACUGAGACACGGUCCAGACUCCUACGGGAGGCAGCAGUGGUGAAGAUUGGACAAUGGGCGAAAGCCGGAUCCAGCCAUGCCGCGUGUGUGAAGAAGGUCUUCGGAUUGUAAAGCACUUGAAGUUGGGAGGCGUUACCAACAGAAUAAGCACCGGCUAACUUCGUGCCAGCAGCCGCGGUAAUAC